CCUACGGGAGGCAGCAGUGAGGAAUAUUGGUCAAUGGGCGGGAGCCUGAACCAGCCAAGUCGCGUGAGGGAAGACGGUCCUAUGGAUUGUAAACCCCUUUAGGCGGGGAGCAAUGCCGGGCACGCGUGCCCGGAGGGAGAGUACCCGCAGACUAAGCAUCGGCUAACUCCGUGCCAGCAGCCGCGGUAAUACGGAGGAUGCGAGCGUUAUCCGGAUUGAUUGGGUUUAAAGGAUGCGUAGGCGGAUUUUUAAGUCAGCGGUAAAAUGUCCGGGCUCAACCCGGGCCGGCCGUUGAAACUGGGGAUCUUGAGUGGGCGAGAAGUAUGCGGAAUGCGUGGUGUAGCGGUGAAAUGCAUAGAUAUCACGCAGAACUCCGAUUGCGAAGGCAGCAUACCGGCGCCCGACUGACGCUGAGGCACGAAAGCGUGGGGAUCGAACAGGAUUAGAUACCCGAGUAGUC
rnacentral:rRNA from 1 species